UACGAAGGGGGCUAGCGUUGCUCGGAAUCACUGGGCGUAAAGCGCACGUAGGCGGUUUGUCGCGUCUGCUGUGAAAACUCGGGGCUUAACCCCGGGCCUGCAGUGGGUACGGGCAGACUAGAGUGCGGUAGGGGAGACUGGAAUUCCUGGUGUAGCGGUGAAAUGCGCAGAUAUCAGGAGGAACACCGGUGGCGAAGGCGGGUCUCUGGGCCGUAACUGACGCUGAGGAGCGAAAGCGUGGGGAGCGAACAGG
rnacentral:rRNA from 1 species